rnacentral:tRNA from 1 species
GGGGUUGUGGCUCAGAGGUAGAGCGCUUGCCUACCAUGCAUGGGGCACUGGGUUUGAUCCUCAGCACCA